GACUUCUUAGAAACAGGCUUGGGAAUGCAGCCUUCAGACCUUGGGUCCCAGAUCCUGGGAGGUGGGAGAGGCAGUAUGGGCAGGGGCAGCCAAGCCCCCUGGAGACCAAGAGAGCUAAGUUCUCAACCUGCCUCCAGUUGGGAGUCUCUCCAAGCCAGAGGACCCUAUGGCCCUGGCUCUAUUUGAAGGAUUCUCUCCAAAAACACAGCAGCCCAGAACAAAUUCUUUCCCAGGGUUGAUUCCCAGAAACCCCCUCCCCAUCCUCCAGUAGGUCCAUGGUGAGCCUCCCGCCAACCACAGUUCCAGCCAAUCUCCAGCUUGAGGCAGGUCUUCCCGGGCUCUGAUUGGCUGGCUGGUCCUUCCAGCCAAGGAAGGUUGGGUCCUGCACACAGGAAUGAGGAAGGAAGGUGUUUGCACCGAGGAGAGAAACCCGGGAGCAGGAAGAGCAGAACAACGCUGAAGGAACAGGAGGCCUGGCAUUACCCCUGCCACCCAUGUCUACCAGUGUGAGGACUUCGUUCAGUUCUGCCCCUGGCACGUGGGACAGAGCACGUGGUUUUAAAAUUCUGCAGCAGACCCUUGAGGUUCACCUCUGCACGGGAACCAGAGGUACUAAGGUGAUGGGUCUGGGGGGACACCUCCCCAAGUCCCCGGAAAUGCAAGGCAGGGGCCACUGAGAGGGAGCCGGAGGGUAAGAUCUUGCCCAGAUAGAGACAUUCACGCUCCUUAGGUGCUUUCUCCACUGGCCCCUCUUCCCUCAGAGUCCCCUCUUCUCCCCCCAGCUCUGCGUGCCACCACCUCUCCCACCUCCGUUCCCACCACAGCUGCCCAGUGACCUCCUGCCGCCUGAUUCCAGCUCCUCCAGCUUCAGCUGCUUAUGGAUCUGGCUCUCACUAUCUGUCACCACCUGUGAGGUGGGAGCCUGACAGACAGCAGAGGGCUCUUUCUGCCAGGGAGUAGCUGGGAUCAGAAGGGGCCAAGGAGAGGCCAAGAAGUGGAGGGACCCUGCUGUGGCUUAGUCCUGGGGGCUCUGCAGGUUCCCCCACAGGAGUCUCCCGGCAGGCAGCCGGCUCCACCCUCUGCUGGGAUGCGGUGACACCAGGACCACUUGUUCCAGAAAACCCCAAAAUAACCUGCCUUCACUGUCCAGCUGCUAUUUCCGUCCAUCUUAAUUAUUCAAACCCAGGUUGGGGCGUGAACUAUAAAAAGCUCUCCUACUCCGGGAUCCAGGAGAGCUGGGAGACUCGCCAGGUUGCAACCACAGCGGACCACAGGGUUUGGGUGAGGUCACUCGAGCGGCCUCGGGCCGGACACUGGCCCGCUGCUUCCUCAGCUGGAGGCAGUUCCAGGCCACUGAUCACAGAGGCACGGAGCAGAGCCACGUCUGGCCUGGGAGCUGGCUCCCGCACCCUCCUCUACUCUUAGCCGUCCCUUUCUUCCCCGCUCCCGCAUCCUGCCCUCUUCUCCCACAGAUCACACUGUCAGUGACUGAGGAGGCGGGUGGCAGGGAGAGGCAAGUGGACGCCGAGACAGGGAGACUAAGGCGGUAGGAGAGUCCCUGCUGUUGCCACUGCCACCCCGGAGCUCUCGGGAGCUCUGCCCCUGUGGCCGAAGGGGUGGAGGAGAGGCUGCAGAUGGGCUUCACCUUCUUUUCCAGGUUUUAUCUUCAUCUCAUGUCCCCAACUCCUGUGUCAGUUUGCACUGGAGGCCAAAUGGGAAAAGCAGAGCUCCCUGGGGCUGCUUCUAUGACCCCUCCCACCCCAGACCUUUCCCUAGAAGCCUGGCACAGCCAGUCAGGGGUUGUACUGGCAACAUGGGCCCUGGGAGGGGGGCAGUGGGGGGGACUCCCUCACGAUGGGGAGACUGGAAGCUAUGUAGUCUGACAGGAGGAGGUACAAGAGAGACUGGGGAGCUGGGUGUGGUGGUGCAAGCCUAUAUGGCACUGUGAGAGGCUGAGGCAGGAGAACUGUAA